rnacentral:rRNA from 1 species
GGGGAAUAUUGCACAAUGGGGGGAACCCUGAUGCAGCCAUGCCGCGUGUGUGAAGAAGGCCUUCGGGUUGUAAAGCACUUUUAGUUGUGAGGAAAGGUUAGUAGUUAAUACCUGCUAGCUGUGACGUUAGCAACAGAAGAAGCACCGGCUAACUCCGUGCCAGCAGCCGCGGUAAUACGGAGGGUGCGAGCGUUAAUCGGAAUUACUGGGCGUAAAGCGCACGCAGGCGGUUUGUUAAGCUAGAUGUGAAAGCCCCGGGCUCAACCUGGGAUGGUCAUUUAGAACUGGCAGACUAGAGUCUUGGAGAGGGGAGUGGAAUUCCUAGUGUAGCGGUGAAAUGCGUAGAUAUUAGAAGGAACAUCAGUGGCGAAGGCGACUCCCUGGCCAAAGACUGACGCUCAUGUGCGAAAGUGUGGGUAGCGAACAGGAUUAGAUACCCUGGUAGUCCACACCGUAAACGCUGUCUACUAGCUGUUUGUGAGUUUAACUCGUGAGUAGCGAAGCUAACGCGCUAAGUAGACCGCCUGGGGAGUACGGCCGCAAGGUUAAAACUCAAAUGAAUUGACGGGG